rnacentral:rRNA from 1 species
AAUAGAUACCCCGGUAGUCCACGCCGUAAACGAUGAGUGCUAAGUGUUAGAGGGUUUCCGCCCUUUAGUGCUGCAGCUAACGCAUUAAGCACUCCGCCUGGGGAGUACGGCCGCAAGGCUGAAACUCGAAAGGAAUUGACGGGGGCCCGCACAAGCGGUGGAGCAUGUGGUUUAAUUCGAAGCAACGCGAAGAACCUUACCAGGUCUUGACAUCCUCUGACAACCCUAGAGAUAGGGCUUUCCCCUUCGGGGGACAGAGUGGCAGGUGGUGCAUGGUUGUCGUCAGCUCGUGUCGUGAGAUGUUGGGUUAAGUCCCGCAACGAGCGCAACCCUUGAUCUUAGUUGCCAGCAUUCAGUUGGGCACUCUAAGGUGACUGCCGGUGACAAACCGGAGGAAGGUGGGGAUGGACGUCAAAUCAUCAUGCCCCUUAUGACCUGGGCUACACACGUGCUACAAUGGAUGGUACAAAGGGCUGCAAACCUGCGAAGGUAAGCGAAUCCCAUAAAGCCAUUCUCAGUUCGGAUUGCAGG